AAACAGUCAGGGUGACAAGGUAUCUAUUAAUAAAGAGGUGCCUGUGGCGUACAUAGCAGACUGUAUUGAGUUUGUGACGAGGGUAAUAGAUUCCACACCCAAGAACACUCUGUUCGAUACAGUGAAUCACGAUCAGGUAGUGAUAAAGUUUUCGGGAGAUAAAGGAGAUGGCAGGACAAAUUUAUCGUUCUAUGUGAUGAAUCAGAUUUCUCCGAAUUCAUGCGAUAAACACUUUAUGCUUAUAAUAUAUGGAGCAGGUGACACGAACUACAACUUAAAGUCAGCCUUUGACCUUAUCAAUUUGAAGAUGGGACAAGGCCCACAACCACAUCACCUUUCAGUUAGAAGAAGCAACCACCUGCACCCAGCACUGCACCUCGCGAGGUUGAUAAGUUAGUGGAACUCGGAGACAGUCU